UACGGGGGGGAGCAAGCGUUGUUCGGAUUUACUGGGCGUAAAGGGCGCGUAGGCGGCCUCUGCAAGUCGACUGUGAAAUCUCCGGGCUUAACUCGGAAAGGUCAGCCGAUACUGCGGGGCUAGAGUGCAGAAGGGGCAACUGGAAUUCUCGGUGUAGCGGUGAAAUGCGUAGAUAUCGAGAGGAACACCUGCGGCGAAGGCGGGUUGCUGGGCUGACACUGACGCUGAUGCGCGAAAGCUAGGGGAGCGAACGGG
rnacentral:rRNA from 1 species